rnacentral:rRNA from 1 species
UACGGAGGGAGCUAGCGUUGUUCGGAAUUACUGGGCGUAAAGCGCACGUAGGCGGCUUUGUAAGUUAGAGGUGAAAGCCCGGGGCUCAACCCCGGAAUUGCCUUUAAGACUGCAUCGCUUGAAUCCAGGAGAGGUGAGUGGAAUUCCGAGUGUAGAGGUGAAAUUCGUAGAUAUUCGGAAGAACACCAGUGGCGAAGGCGGCUCACUGGCCCGAUACUGACGCUGAGGCACGAAAGCGUGGGGAGCAAACAGG